rnacentral:sRNA from 1 species
GGAUGAAGAGUUUCUUAUUCGAGUUUCUUCUGCUCGGAACUCGGUGAAACAUUUAUUACAAAAGCAAUCUUUGUUGCGACCUGGCCUGGGAUUCGACGUCUGCUCUCUGCCAGGUAUCCGUGAAAUAUGUGAGCUUCUACAAAGGAUAAACAACUUAGAAACACCAGCUGUAGAUUUAGACAGAGAUGGGUUUAGUUCUAUAUUUGUAAG